rnacentral:misc_RNA from 1 species
UACAUCGGCCGCGACGCCCCGCGCCUUCGCUCCGGGCACCGCCUUGACGAUGGCCUCGGCUGCUGCGUCCGCCCUGUCCUGUGUGCGGCCGUUGACCACAACGCUCGCCCCGGCCCGGGCGAGGCCCCUGGCGAUGGCCAGCCCGAUGCCCCCGGUCGAGCCGGUCACGAUUGCGGUGGUGCCUGAGAGAUCGAUUUUCAUGAAAAGCUCCUUUGCUAUGGAACUCAUAUGGCGGCCCAAACAGCCCGCGCCACUGCCAGAUCGUGUCCGCCGGUUCAUGGCAUUG